rnacentral:rRNA from 1 species
GGCAAAUUCGACGGGCUUACACAUGCAAGUCGAGGGGCAGCGGGGGCAGCAAUGCCUGCCGGCGACCGGCGCACGGGUGAGUAACGCGUAUGCAACUUGCCUAUCAGAGGGGAAUAGCCCGGCGAAAGUCGGAUUAAUGCUCCAUAAAACAGGGGUCCCGCAUGGGAAUAUUUGUUAAAGAUUCAUCGCUGAUAGAUAGGCAUGCGUUCCAUUAGGCAGUUGGCGGGGUAACGGCCCACCAAACCGACGAUGGAUAGGGGUUCUGAGAGGAAGGUCCCCCACAUUGGAACUGAGACACGGUCCAAACUCCUACGGGAGGCAGCAGUGAGGAAUAUUGGUCAAUGGCCGGGAGGCUGAACCAGCCAAGUCGCGUGAAGGAUGAAGGAUCUAUGGUUUGUAAACUUCUUUUAUACGGGAAUAAAGUGUGGGACGUGUCCCAUUUUGUAUGUACCGUAUGAAUAAGCAUCGGCUAACUCCGUGCCAGCAGCCGCGGUAAUACGGAGGAUGCGAGCGUUAUCCGGAUUUAUUGGGUUUAAAGGGUGCGUAGGUGGUUGUUUAAGUCAGCGGUGAAAGUUUGUGGCUCAACCAUAAAAUUGCCGUUGAAACUGGAUGACUUGAGUAUAUUUGAGGUAGGCGGAAUGCGUGGUGUAGCGGUGAAAUGCAUAGAUAUCACGCAGAACUCCGAUUGCGAAGGCAGCUUACUAAACUAUAACUGACACUGAAGCACGAAAGCGUGGGGAUCAAACAGGAUUAGAUACCCUGGUAGUCCACGCAGUAAACGAUGAUUACUAGGAGUUUGCGAUAGACAGUAAGCUCUACAGCGAAAGCGUUAAGUAAUCCACCUGGGGAGUACGCCGGCAACGGUGAAACUCAAAGGAAUUGACGGGGGCCCGCACAAGCGGAGGAACAUGUGGUUUAAUUCGAUGAUACGCGAGGAACCUUACCCGGGUUUGAACGCAUUCGGACCGGAGUGGAACGCUCCUUUCACCAUGACCGUUU